UCUAAGCAGAGAUGCGAGAUCCAAAGACAUCAAGAAGAAGGCUGCAGCCACCCCAGCUGCUCCGGAGACCACCCCAACAGUCAACUUACAACCAAGGUGCUGGGAUCAAAGAUGUCUUCCACCACCGCCUGACAAGUUUGAAGAUUUUGUGGAGAGAUCUCAGCUUAAACCCUUGCUCUGCUUCUUCCUGGACAGUGUGACCUUGACAUGUCACCUGAAACUUACCUUGAAAACAAUAUUGUAAACUUCAUACCACUUAGGCUUUGCCGUGUGGUUUCAAUGAGACACUAUAAACAAGGCAUUUAGCACAGUUCUUAGAAUACAGUGAUCCUUUAAGAAUGUUAGCUAUUAUCAUGGCUUCCUACUUCAAGAUUAAAAUAGCUAUUAGAAGGGAACAGAAUGCCACAAGAAGAUGUAAUGGGACAGAAGAGGUCAGUACCCUUCUCAAAAGUCUAUGACCAGCCACACAUGAUAGAACCAGACCCUAAGUCAGGAAUGAACCAGAAUAGGUGAGGGCUGCAGAAAUGGGUCAGUGAGAGAGGUGACACAAAUCUAUUUACAGAAGUAGGGGCUGGCAGAUGUGGUAUAGGAAAUAAAGAUGACAGAAUCAUUCA